AGAGAGAGAGAGAGAGAGAGAGAGAGAGAGAGAGAGAGAGAGAGAGAGAGAUUAGCGUGGGGCGUGAGGUUACCGUCGUGAUCGGAGGUUGCGAAUCGCUGCAAACACGCACGGAGUCCGUUUUGACGCCACGAUAUUCUCUUCCCCUUCCCGGCCGGAAGCGCGCCCUUUUAUCCUCCUCCGUCGUCGCCUGAGUGGUGGGACUUCCCCGUUGGAUCCGCCAAUCGCUGGCCGGAGUCGCGUCAGUCCCGCCCUGCCGCGGCGGUCCUUCCGGCUGGCGGAAUGUUCGGCAGGAAGCUGCCCACGUCGUGCCGGUGCGGCAGUCGGAGAAGGAGCGUUUUCCCUCUUGUGUGCGCCGGCUCUCUGCCCGUCGCGACAGUAUGUACUGUUUAUGUACUUUCCUAUGCCCUACACAAAGCUAAACAUCACAUAGAAUAAAUGAAGAAAUGGACAUUAUGAAAACAACGGAAUUGAAACAAAAAUGAAAUAAAUAAAUGAACAGAAUAAUGACCAGCACGGUGCAGGUAUUGCAAACUAAUAAAUUAAUAAAUUCAGCAGAUUCAGAAAAGUCAACUGAUGAAGUUGAAAUAAAUGUUCAGACGUAUCACAGUAUGUACCAACUGCAUACGAGAAAGCAAGGGUUAUUCACCUCCUGACGAACCCCAGUCUGGAUCCCAGACAUCAGCAACUACAGACUGGUGGUGUUGCCGUACCUAGUUUUCCAAGAUGCAUGCACUACUCAGAUCAGGCAGCGACUCACAUCCGUGGGCCUUGCUGGGCCUCAUAUACGAUACAUCAGAUGUGCUGCUCCUGCAAGGACCGUGUUGCAGCAAGGCAAGAGUGAAAACUCAUCGUACUAGUUGAACACACCUAAGCUGGUAAAUGCAGGCGACUUUAUGCAAAUGUGGAGUGACUUGGUGCAGAGACUACCAAUGGGAGUGAAGACAGGAGAGUGCACGUGAUAAGUACAAGCUACCAGAAGGAGCGAGGACCUGAGGCUGAGACGCCCGGCUCUGGGAACAAGCAGCACCAAGCCAGCCACUUCACCCAGGAAGCACGGAGACCAUGGCCGAGGAGGCCAUAAGCUGAGCUAAGCUAAGCUAAUUGCACUUUUCCCACAGACAGAUGGCCUCAGUGGCAAAGAGCACACACUGCUUCUCCUCGAUCUCAUAGGAUGUGAUGCAUAUAUACACUGGUGAGUUUUAUAUAAGAUCCUCUUCCUCCAGAAGGUUCCAUUUUAGCAGCAAGAAAACUGAUUAAUUGUCAAAAGUGGAAUGUUAGUCGCACCACCCACUGACAAAUGUUACUAUGACAACUGGUAGCAGGAACACCUACUGGCGACUUCAUAGUACAGCGACUAUGAACGUAGCAUCAGAUAGAUAAGAAAGUUUGAGCAGCGUGUCUCAGCUAGGUUAGAGUUCAGAUGCUGGGAAGGUGGGAUUUACAAGGGAUUCAAGCCUCGAUAUUUUGUGAUAGAAAUAUGUGGACUUGGUGUAUGACUGCAGGUUGCCUUUUGCCUCAUAAAUGAAAUAGUGUAUAGUGAGUGUUGACAUUAUGAAAUUGACUAUUGUAACAAAAAAACAUAUAUUUUAAUACUCAUAUGAAAUAUACAGUAGGAAAAGAAUAAUGUGCACAACAGUUCAGAUAUUCCAAACUGUUGUUUAAUUGAUUUAGCCAUAAUUAUUCAACAGUCAACUCAACAAUUCCGGUAGUAGUAGUAGUAACCCUAACCCAGACAUCACAAUCAUCAUAUUCAUGUGUUCAUAGAUAUAGAACAAAGUGAAAGUAAAAAGUACAGAUGUUUAUUAUAAAACAACAACAAUCACAAAUCAACGCCGAUCAUCUCUGGACAACAGCAACUCAGUCAAUCAGUAGUCCCACCCCACCCCCAACUCCUACAGCCCACACUUCUAUUCAGAAACUGCCUUUACCUUCACACUCUUUGAAGGAAGAUCCACAUGUUGACAUGUUGUGUAUUUGUGUGUGUGUGUGUGUGUGUGUGUGUGUGUGUGUGUGUUUUAAUGUCUGUUCUGGAUUCCUGGAUGUGUAGCCAGAUAGUAAAAUCCAUCUUUUGGGAUCUGCUGUGGAGCUGCUAAGGGCAGAGAAAUACAGAGAAACAUCUGAUUACUAACUGAUAUACUGAAGUUAUUUUAUCAUUCUUAGAGAAGGCAAUCCUGUAAUUCUGCUCCUUUACUUCAAAUGCUGCAUAAAUGAGCAUUAGGCUCUGUUCUGGUAACAAAAGAAAUCUAAAGUAUUAUUUCACAUACAUGCUGCACAUUUUGGACUCUUAUAGACUGUUUUUAGUUUCAGCUGUUUGCCUAAAGUGUGCAGCCUGUCAAUUCUGAAAAAAACAACAACAUUAGUUUAUGAAGCUCACGUUCUCAUUCUGAGUCAUUUAUAUUUCUAAGCCAGAUAAAUAAAUAAACUUUACAUUAAUAGUAAACUCACCUGGUUGAGGAGCUGAGGGAGUCUCGUAAAUUGACUCAUAAACAUGUAUCUCAUCCAAAGAUUCUGCUGAGACACAGAGAGUAGGGGUCACCACUAGGGGUCACUAUUCUUAUACACAACUAAUCCCCAUUCUUUUCAUUUCAGUGCAAAGUUUACAGUCAGUAAUGCAGUAAUUAUGUGAUUUGCUUUUAUAGUAUAAUAAUAAUAAUAAUAAUAAGAAGAAGAAGAAGAAGAAUGUUGUGGUCUGAUGAAAAGUUAAUGUUAACACCCUAGAGAUGAUUAUUUUCCAGAUCCCUGAGUGUUUUUUUUCCUCUUAUACCGCAGCAAUUUGCCAACAAUUACACUACAGUUCCUUUGAGACAUGUGAAGUCAGCCAACCACAACUUUUCUUUUUUUUUGACUUUUACUUACAUUUACAUUUAUUCACUUAGCAGACGCUUUUAUCCUAAGCGACUUACAAAUGAGAAAGAUACAAGCAAAGCGAUAUCAAGCAGAGAACAAUACAAGAAGUGCUACCAUACAAGAUCUAUUAAUUGAAUUCCAGAAGAAGCAAAGUGCAGAGUAGAGGUGUAAGUGCAUUUUUGUAUUAUUAUUAUAAUGAAUUUGUUAGGUGUUCAUAGAAGAGGUGGGUCUUUAGUUGUUUUUUGAAGAUGGUGAGAGAUUCUGCGGUCUGGAUUGAAUUUUUUAUUCAUUUAUCGAGUAAUCGAAGCCGAGCUGGGUGAAGUAUUCCAUAGCUAGCGCCCUCAAUACCACAAACUUGAUGCUGAACCUCAUUAAAUGCGGCCCGGGCCCGGGCUGUCUUGGCUGUGUAGUCAGGGGAAACGGAGAUGGUCACAUCCCUCACUUUAAUCCACUGGAGCUCUCUCACGGCGUAAAAUGUCAACACAGUCACUGUGAUAGUGGAAUCUGCACACAUUAACUCGUGGUCGUUCACCAGGCUUGGGCUUCGGCUGAAGGGUCCGGUGGGACCGGUCCAAAACCGGCUCCUUCUCCAGACCACACGCUUCUUUUAACAAGGCCGCUACAGCAGCGGUUGUACAGGUGUCAGCGCCCUCUGGAACUCCGACUAUCCUAACGUUAUUGCGCCGUGACCUCGACUCCAAAUCCUCACACUUAUUCUCUAACUGAGUCACGGUCGCAGUGAGAGACUCGACAGUAGUCUUCAUAUGAAUCAUGUCAUCGGUGCAACCGGAGAGCGCGUGCCCCAUUUCCCCAACAGUACCUUUCAGUGUUGAUAUGGUAGCCUCGGUAGUGACUUUAUCACUGGCCAGCUGUGUUUUCACGGCCUGCAGGUCAAGCUGGAUAGUAGACAGCGUACCCCCGAGAGUCUUCUGGAGCUUCUGGAGCUCCUUUUUAAAAAUAUCGGCGAUGUCCUUCCUCAGUGAAGCCAGCAGCUCAAGCCUGAGUGCGGCGAAGUCAGGGUCACCGCUCGGCGACGCGGAUUCAGAGGGAGAAGGGGACUCGCUCACGGCGUGCACACUUGGCCUCAGUCGUGUCUGAAUACUACCACAGGUUUUCGUGUUCUUUCCAGACAUUUUAACGUACCACAAAGUUAAAAUUACAAACAAGGAAACAGAGUAGAAUAAUUCAAAAUAUAUUGUAUGACCAAAAAGCGCUAAUUAAUUACAAUUACACGAAAUCAGCAGGAGCCUCCAACUUCGCGUCCUACUCCAUCGAAUUCCGAAUAACCAUUCAACCACAACUUUUCAACCUGCGUCACAGAGCAACAUAACACACUCAUAAUAAAUCUACCUUCUUCCACAUACAGAAGUCUAACAGACAGAUGAUUGUCUAAAUCAGGUGUGUCUAAUCUUAUUGGGAAAGGGCCGGUGUGGGUGCAGGUUUUCAUUCCAACCAAGCAGGAGCCACACCUGAGUCUACUGAAAGCCAAGAUCAACUGAUUAAACAGGUGAAGGUAAAUUGUAAGUCGCUUUGGAUAAAAGCAUCUGCUAAAUGAACAAAUGUAAUGUAAAUGCAGAUGUAAAUCAGGUGUGGCUCCUGCUUGGUUGGAAUGAAAACCUGCACCACACUGGCCAAUUGCAGAUAAGAUUGGACACCCCUAGUCUAGUGUUACUGACUUACAGGGGAGAGACAGUAUGCCCCUCCUAUUUUGCUCUCUUGGCCAUAGAUAUCUGUGGCAUCAUUGGGACUCGAUCUCCAGACGAUAGGGUGAAGGCUUUUCUGCUGUGCCACUCAGGAACCUGACUGAUAAAGCUGUAAAAUGCUCCUUCUAAUAGGAACCCUUCAAAAACGAGGUUUCAUCUCCAGAUAAAACUUUGUGACAUUGUGUGUGAAGAUAAUGUUUUAAGUGAUUACCUUUUUCAGCUGAAUCGUGCUGUACUUUGGCGGUGCUACCUGAAUGAAGAGGUAAUAAUAAGAGUUAAACGGGUUGCGGAUUCUGUCAGGAUUUAAUGCAGAGGAACAACACUACAUAUGAAAAAAAUUAACAUGUUUUACAUUAAGUGUCACAUAUUCCUCGUAAUGAAGGUUAGGACGGAUGCAAAUGCAGGUAAGAGUUUAUUAGAGAGAGGCAGGUAGAUAAAUCCAAAUCAUAAGACAAUAGCGUGGUCGAAAUAACAGGUAAUGGGUCAGGCGAUCUACAAACAGGCAUAAACUGGGCAAGGCUAGAAUCAAGAACAAUAAACGAGAAACAAGGUCAAUGAACAUGAUGCAAAAUGAGAAACAAGGAACAACCGCUUGGUAUGGUGAUAACACUCAAUACUUCACAAAGUCAUGGUGUUAAAAAAAGUCUCUUUUAUAGCGUGAAGUGAGUGAGUGUGAGAUGGGCAACAGGUGUGUGUGAUUAGAAUUCCGGAGGUGGUGAAUGGGGGGGCGGGGGGGGUGUAGUCCAUGACGGGCAUGUGAAGGUGAACAUGUGUGUGUGUGUGUGUGUGUGUGUGUGUGUGUGGGAAGUGUAGUCCAUGGCGGCCAUGUUUGUAGGCCGCAGUGCAGGAUGGGAAAUGUAAUCACUGGUUUGCUGUUAUAUGACAGAACCACCCCACCUCCCUAACCUCAGGGCGCGGAAAAUAACACUCCCUCCCCCAGUGGUCCUGGCCCUCUGGGCAAAAUGUCUUCACAUCCCCUCAGGUUACAAUGCAGGCAUUGUCUGACAAGUAGCAGGUUCCUCCAGGAGCUGAGGAGCAGACAUGAGGCUGGGGUCAUCAGUCUCGAGCAUGAGCAUAACUUGGUUGGUUGUGAUGUCCGCUUCAGGCAUGAGCAGAACUUGGCCAUGUCAGCAGACUCGGGCAUGAGCAGAACUUGGUUGGCCGUGACAUUGGUUUUAGGCAUGAGCAGAACCUGGUUGGUCAUGACGUCGGGACAGGAACUUGGCGUGAGCAGAGCUUGGGUUGGCCGUCUCUUCGACCUCAGACAGGAACAUGGCUUGAGAGGUCGUCCCUUCAAACUCGCACAGGCACUUGGCUUGAGAGGUCGACUCUUUGACCUCGGACAGAAACCUGGCUUGAGUACUCGCCUCUUCGACCUCGUACACAAACAUGGAUUGGGAGGUCGUCUCUUUGACCUCGGACAGGAACUUGACUUUAUGCUGGAGCUCUGGGGAGGAGGUCGCCACAUUGACCUCCGACUGGGACUCUGGAGAUGAGGUCACCACGUUGAACUCUGGCUGGAGCUCGGCAGGUGAGACCACAUAGUGGGUCUUAGGCAGGAGCUUUGGGAAGGAGGUCACCCAGUUUGCCUGCUCACAAUAGGUGGUGAACGGCAAGUCAGGUUUAUCUCUGAGGCAGGCCUCCUGGAAAAGAUCCUCCAGGAUGACCCAGGAUUUUGAACUGCAAGAAAAUAUUCAGGGUAACCUGAUAACCCAUCAUACAGCUCUGGGAGGUCUACGACAGUCCACUGAGGAAACUGGAUCGAAUCCACAGUUGGGACGGUUUGCCUGGUUUCCCUAGCGUGAUGUCUCCCCCUCUUUCCUGCUGCUUCCAUGUUAUAGGCGAAGUAUUCUGUCACAUAUUCCUCGUAAUGAAGGUUAGGACGGAUGCAAAUGCAGGUAAGAGUUUAUUAGAGAGAGGCAGGUAGAUAAAUCCAAAUCAUGAGACAAUAGCGUGAACGAAAUAAGAGCCAAUGGGUCAGGCGAUCUACAAACCUAUAAACUGGGCAAGGCUAGAAUCAAGAAUCAAGAACGAUAAACGAGAAACAAGGUCAAUGAACAUGAUGCAAAAUGAGAAACAAGGAACAACCGCUUGGUAUGGUGAUAACACUCAAUACUUCACAAAGUCAUGGUGUUCAAAAAGUCUCUUUUAUAGCGUGAAGUGAGUGAGUGUGAGAUUGGCAACAGGUGUGUGUGAUUAGAAUUCCGGAGAAGAUGAACGUGGGGAGGGGGAGUGUAGUCCAUGGCGGCCACGUUUUUAGGCCACAGUGCAGGAUGGGAAAUGUAAUCACUGGUUUGCUGUGAUAUGACCUUAAGAUUCAUUUAACUGACAGUGUUUACUGCAUGAAUAAAUGAUAAACUUCAGCAUUUAUAAAGUAUAAAGUUAAUAAGACAAAAGAUGUCCUGAGGAUGUCUGAAAACUUAAAAUUACAGCUUUACCUCUGACUGUUGCAAAGCACUGACACUGGAGACUCCUUCCAUUCAUGUUACAUGAACAUCUCCUUGUCACCAUAUCAACAAUUACAUACAUUUUUUAAUUUGUUUGUGUGAAGCUGUGCACAAAGUGCAUUAAUAUAAACCUACUCUACUGUCAGAGCUGUUGUUCUAGAAAAUUGCACAAUCACUAAUGUCAAAUAAACAGUGAGCAGUAUAUCUAACAAAACACAUGAUCCAAGAGAUAAGGACAGGCCAAGCAGGUUAGUGGGUUAGCAUUCUAGCUCAGUAGUGAAGAUAAUAAAACUUUACUGUAUAUAAUUUAAAUGAAAUGUUACCUUUCCUUUUGGAGAAACACCUCCACAGAACCAGAAGUGACACUAAAACAAGCGCACAACCCCCGGCUACUAAAGCUGUUACCGUCAACCAAUCUGAAAACCAAAUCACAUGAUCACCUCAGAUGUGUUUACCAAAAGAUAAACAACUAUUUAAAAAUAAAAAUAAAACAUCUCUGUAGUUACCUGUUCAUAUACUCUCAGAUAGUGGUGCUUGAAAGUUUAGAAAUUAGAGUCAGGUGUUUUCAAUCAAUGAAAUGAUUGGUAUAAUCAGGUGUGAGUGAGCAUCCUGUUUUAUUUAAAGAACAGCGAUUGAUCAGAGUCUGAUCUUCACAACAUGUGUUUGUAGAAGUGCAUCAUGGCAUGAACAAAGGAGAUUUCUGAGGACCUCAGAUAAAGAGAUGUUGAUGCUCAUCAGGCUGGAAAAGUUUACAAAACAAUCUAUUAAGAGUAUGGACUCCACCAACCCACAGUCAUAUUGGGUAUAAAUGGAGGAAAUUCAACACCAUUGUUCACCUCCCCAGGAGUGGAGACCAACAAAGAUCACUCCAAGAACAAGACGUGUAAUAGUCCACGAGGUCACAAAGGAACCCAGGGUAACUUCCAAGCAACUAAAGUCCUCUCUCACACUGGCUAAUGUUAAUGUUCAUGAGUCCACCAUCAGGAGAACACUGAAGAACAAUGGUGUGCAUGGCAGGACUACAAGGUGGAAGUCACCGCUCUCCAAAAAGAACAUUGCUCUCCUCCUGCAGUUUGAUAAAGAUCAUGUGGACGAGCCAGAAGUCUAAUGGAAAAAUGUUUUGUGGAUGGAGGAGACCAAAAUAGAAUUUUUUGGUUUAAAUGAGAAGUGUUAUGUUUGGAUAAAGGAAAACGCUGCAUUCCAGCAUAAGAACCUUCUCCCAUCGGUGAAACAUGGUGGUGGUAGUGUCAGGGUUUGGACCUGUUUUGCCUAAUCAGGUCCAGGACGACUCGGCAUCACUGAUGGAACAAUGAGUUCUGAAUUAUAUCAGUGAAAUUUAAAGGAAAAUGUCAUUACAUCUGUCUGUGAACUGAAUCUGAAGAGAAAGUGGGUCAUGCAGCAAGACAAUGAGCCUAAGAACACGAGUCGUUCUACCAAAGAACGCUUAAAGAAGAAUAAAGUUAAUGUUUUGGAACGGCCGAGUCAAAGCCCCGACCUUAAUCCAGUAGAAAUGUUGUGGAAGAACCUGAAGCGAGCAGUUCAUGUGAGGAAACCCACCAACAUCCCAGAGCUGAAGCUGUUCUGUACUGAGGAACGGGAUAAAACUCCUCCGAGCCGACGUGCAGAUGAUCAACACUUACCCCAAACGUUUAUCUGCAGUUAUCACUGCACAAGGGGAACACACCACAUACUGAAAGCAAAGGUGCACAUACUUUUACCCCUCACAGAUCUGUAAUACUGGAUCAAUUUCCUCAGUAAAUAAAUGACCAAGUAUAAUAUUUUUGUCUCAUUUGUUUAACUGGGUUCUCUUUAUCUACCUUUAGGAAUCUGCUGAUGUUUUAGGUUAAUGCGGAAAUGUAUAAAAUUCGAAACACAAACUUUCAAGCACCACCGUAAAUAAUAAUAUGUUAACAAUAAAAUAUAUAAUUGAUUAAUUAUUCAUUUUCAGAAUUGUUAAUUAUUUGUAAUUAUGUUAAUAAUAAUAGAAGAAUACUAAAUAAUAUGAUCAUAGUACUAAUUUAUACUUAUAACAGGAAGCAGUAGAAGAAAUUAAAAAUAAUGAAAAAUAAAUUAUAUAUAAAAUAAAACUCUAAAAUAAUAAUAAUUGUGUGGUGGAGUUUUAAUGAAAGCAAUGGUCAGACCACUUACCCCCCGUUUUCAUGAUUUUCAGAGUCUUUGAUGUCACACUGACCUCCACUGAGUUCUCAUUACAGUAAUAUCGACCAGAGUCUGAGAACGAGACAUUAAAUAUACUCAGAAUCAGACGUCUUCCUGAGCUGUAACGUCUGUCCGGAUCAGUGAUGUGUUUGAUAACCGUGUCCUUGUAGACGCUGAGAAUCUUGUCCCUUUUUCCACCCACAUCUCUGCUCCAGGUCACGUUACCGUUAGUCUCUCCACAUUUAAGUAUACAGAUGUUUUUCUCUGGACAAAAUGUUUCUGUCAGUCAGAGUGCAGGAGAAAAUACAGUGUCAGUAAACAGUCGAAGUCAAGCUGCCUCAGUAAAACUUCCUCGUUCUGUAAAACUAGUUUGCUCUUAGCUAUGUUUAUUCACUAAACUAACCAGUGUAGAUGGUGAUAGACGUCUGUUUUGAGGGACUGUCACACCUUCCUUUAUGUGCUGCCUUCAUGUGAAUAAUUCCAACCAAAAAAGUAGAACUGGUUAUGACUCAAAGGCCUGCUGAUAUAAACCACCACCACCAACAUGCUUCUUUCCUACAGAUGUUUAAACAUCUGUCUAGUCAGAGGUGGGUAGUAACGCACUACAUUUGCUUCAUUACAUUUACUUGGGUACAUUUUUUAAAUUUAAUUUUAAGAGUGGGUUUAACUGGCCAUACUUAUACUCUUACCCAAGUUCAUUUUAAUCACAGAAAUGUACUUUUACUGCUCUACAUUCGGUGGCGUUCCUUCGUCACUGUGCAAUGUUAACCAAUUAGUUUAGAUGACAAACGAGUUCACGAGUCUCGCAAUACGCUACAGUGAUCUGAAUGUGAACGCAACAACUGCUCAAUUACCACGACGGAAACAGGACACACGCACUCUCUCUAUCUCUGUCCCUCUCUCUUCCCCUCCCUCUCUAUCUCUCUCUCUAUCGCUCUCUUUCUCCCUCUAUCUCUCUGUCUCUCUCUCUCUAUCUCUCUGUCACUCUCUCUCUCUCUCUCUCUCUCUGUCUCUCUCUCUCUAUCUCUCUCUCCCUCUAUCUUCUCUCUCUCUGCCCUUCUAUCUCUCACUCUACACACACUUUCUGUUCUGUUCCAUAGUCUGUUCUUCUGGUCUCGUUCUCUUGUUUUAAUGCAGAUGCUCACAAGUUUGUGUUAUUACCAUUUUGUGAAAAUAAAGAAAAAAAAAGUCACCUGUUGGGAAAAUGUUUGAUUUCUGUGUUGAAAAUGACAGGAUGUGUUAUUGUACCCAUCACAGGACUGGGAUACGCUGCUUCAUCUUGAACCCAGGUUUUAUAGCAUAUAAACAGAACAGAAAACCUUUCCAGGAGAGACGUGACUUACAGUUCUCCAUGUGGCCUGAGAUUCAGGAUUUUCCUUCAUUUAAUCUUACUCUUACUCAAGUCAUUAUUCACAUUAUUACUUUACUCUUACUUGAGUAGGCGUAAUUAUUUUUAAAAGUAGCUUUACUACUUAUAGUAAAACAAGUAACUUCGAGUAAAAGUUUUGGCUACUCUACCCACCUCAUCUAUUUGCGUAUACAGUAUCAAUACAUCAAUACGUUUACCGUCACAAACCACAUCCUAAAUGAAGAGGAAGAAGAAACCUCUCUGUGGUUUGAUUUCCGUCAUUACAUUUUAAUUUAAUCCAUAUAUAAGACGUUAUUUCUAAUCUGUACAUACUGUAUUUUUUUCAUCAGUGGUAGAAAGAUCAGGAAUAAAAAGCUCCUUUUGCAUAAUGUGCCUAAUAUUGACUGUAUAUAGUUGGAAUGUGUUGAUAGGAGAAAUCAAAAGUUUGAGAUCUCCUGCUGUAGAGCAUUUAUGGAUCAUUGUAAUAUUGUACACAAUACCUUAACAGGUGUGGUACUGUGCAGUGCUGCUAUACUGGAAGGGUUUAGGGUUUAUAUAUAUAUAUAGGAUGUGGAAGCACUCACCGCUGUUGGCCGUGUGUACGCUCACACACAGCAGGAGACAGAUGAACCCGGUAUUCUCCAUCACGACUGAGUGUAAGAGUUAAAGAUGAAACAAAGCGAACGUUACACCCUGUGAACAGACUGAAGCUCCGAGGUGCAGUGUGUGAUGAGCAGUGUGAGGAAGUGAGAUGAGGCUGAGGAAGUGAUGUAAUGUUAUGUAUCCCUGAUUGUGGGUGUGUGUUUGUGUGUGUUUGUGUGUGUUUGUGUGUGUGUGUGUGUGUGUGUGUGUGACUUUGUUUACUUGUGGGCAUGACCUCAAAAAGACAACAAAAGGAGCACAACUAAUCAUCUCAGAAAUGUGUGUUUCUCUAAUAUUUGUGAUUAUGGUAAAGGUCUCGGGGGAUUUUAAGUGAACUUAAACACAUUUAAGAUAAGUGUAAUGAUAGGCGUGUGAGAAUGUGUGAUAAAAAAGAAAACUGAUAGAAAAGGCAUCAUAUUUGAAUCAGGAAGAAUUUGGUCACUUUAUGUAUUACAGAAACACAAAUGAACACAAUGUAAACAUGCUCUCAAUAUGUUUUUAUUUUUAUACAUUAAAUCACAAACAUAACAGAAAUACAUUAUGUGAUCUCCUCACCACCUAUAUGUUUUUCUUCCACAAACUGUUCCACAGUUGUAUAGAACGUCUCUGUACGCUGUAGCAUUACAGUUUCCCUUCACUGGAACUAAGAGGCCCAAACACUGUUCCAGCAUGACAGACAGUGCACGAAGCGAGCUCCAUGAAGACGUGGUGUGUGACGGUUGGAAGAAGGUGGAAGAACUCGAGUGUCCUGUACAGAGCCCUGACCUCAACCCCACUGAACACCUUUAGGGUGAACUGGAACUGGAGUCUCCUCACAUCGACAUCAGCACCUGACCUCAACCUUAUUAAUGCUCUUGUUACUUGAAUGAUCAUUAAUCCCCACAGCUACGAUACAAAAUUUAGUGGAAAGCCUUCCCAGAAGAUUGGAGGAGGUUGUUAUAACAGCAAUGGUGGAAUAAAUCUGGAAAGGGAUGGUCAACAAACACAAUUCAACCUGCUGUGAACUACCUAACUGGUAAGUCAGAUAUGGCUAUGUGCAGCACUGGGGCUUCUCAGGGGACUGUACUGGCUCCAUUCCUGUUCAAUCCUCCAUUCAGAUUUUAGGUAUAACACAGAGUCAUGUCAUGUGCAGAACUACAUGCAUCGGAGGUGGGCAGGGGGAUGAGUAUAUGGCCUUGGUGGAGAGUUUUGCUGAGUGGUGCAAACUGCAGCUGAACAUUGGAGGUAGUGGACACAUAUAAGUACCUGGACCUGCAAUAAAUUACUGUGCUUUUUUAUUGUAUUUAUCUGUGAAUGUUUGUCUUUUACCACUACUGUAAUUUUGCAAUUUCCAUCAGGAUUAAUAAAGUUUCUUUCUUUCUUUCUUUCUUUCUUUCUUUCUUUCUUUCUUUCUUUCUUUCUAUCUAUGUGUCACGUAAUUAAACGUAAUGGAGGUUAGGACAGAUGCAAGUGCAGAUAAGAGCUUUUAAUAAAGAGAGGCAGGCUGACAAAUCCAAAUCAUGAGACAAUAGCAUGGUCAAAUAACAGGCAAUGGGUCAAGCAAUUGACAAAACAGGAAUCAUGAAUGAGGGUGAGAACAAGAUCAAACAAUAACACAUGAAGCAAGAAACAAACGCCUGGUAUACGGAAACUCACCUAAUACUCGCUAAGUACAAAGGGACACGAGGGGUUUAAGUACUAAACAUAAUCGGGCUGAAACACAAAACAGCUGAGACUAAUGAUGACACAUACGGGAAACAAACAGUGACAAUACAGGGGCAGAGACAGGGCCAAAAACCAUAACAAAUGCACGUGUUGAAGGUAAAUUAAGUCAGUGUCACUGAAAACGAAGAUGUUAGAGUGAAACAUAGAAUGUCAAUUGUGGUGUUUAAGGACAGUGAGGAGAGGAGGCUAUCAGAGGGAAGUGAGGUUGUGACAAUGGAAGAGAAUUGUGAGUGGGGAAAGGGAGCGAAGAUUGCCACAAAAUGAGAUAGAGAUAGAGGUUGAAGACUGUGAGGGGGUGAGGGGAGAGAAAUAGAAAACUGGAUAAAGAAAUGGUAAGAGGUGUGGAGAGGAGUAACAAGUAAUAAUUUUGUGUGAGUUACAUGUGAGGAUGAGGUCAAGCUAGUUGCCGGCUUUGUGAGUUGCUGGGGUGGCCAACUGCUUGAGGUCAAACGUGGGAAGGAGCGCAAGAAAAACAUUUGUUUAUGAAGUUCACGUUCUCAUUCUGAAUAAUUUAUAAUUAUAAGCCACAUAAAUAAACUCUAUAUUAACAGUAAUUUCACCUGGUCGAGGAGCUGAUGGAGUCUCGUUGAUGUAUACCGAUGUGUACAGAUCCGAAGAUCCUGCUGAGACACAGAGUGUAGGGGUCACUACUAGGGGUCACUAUUCUUAUCCACAACUAAUCCCCAUUCUUUCAUAUAAAAUGUUUCAGGAUCAAAGUACAAAGUUUUUAGUUAUUGAUGUGUUUUGCUUUUAUAAUGUUUGCUUUAUUUAAUGUUGUGGAAAAUGUUAUUUUCCCGAUCCCUGAGUGUUUUUUUCCUGUUAUACCACUGCAAUUUGUCAACGAUUGCACUACAGUUCCUUUGAGACAUGUGAAGUCAGUCACAGCACAACUUUUCAAUCUGCGUCACAAGGCAGCGUAACACACUCAGAGGAAAUCUACCGUCUUCCACAUAGGGUUACUGUGACUUAUAGGGGAGAGACAGCAUUGGUCACAGAUAUCUGUGGCAUCGUUGGGACUCGAUCUCCAGACGUAAGGGUGAAGGCUUUUCUGCUGCGCCAUUCAGGAGCCUGACUGAUAAUUUUCAGGUCAAGUCACAGCACAGAUUCCAGAUCCCAGCAUGCACUGCAGCCUACAGACAUGUGGGACUCCACUUCCCAUAACGUGCACACAUACACUGCUUCGCUCUCAGUCCCUGGACUUCUGAUUGUGCACACCUAAUCCAUAUUACGCAUACACACACACGCGCGCGCGCGCUUUAUAUAAAGACUUUCUACCACCAGAACUUUGCGAAGUAUACACUCAGUUGCCUUUUGUCUCUGUUGUUACCAGGUCUUACACUGUAUCUGAUUUUUGCUGUAUUUGACCCUCAUCCUGUUUACAUUCAUGUGCAUUUGUUUAUCCUCUGACAUCCUGUUUGUAGAUCACCUGACCUUAGCCUGUCCCUGUUUUUGAGAACUGUCUUUAAGCACUAUAUUUGGAUUAUUUGCCUGGACUGUAAUUAUACUGCCUUAACUACAUCUGCAUCUGUCUCCACUUUCAAUAAGUGACAAUAAAGCUUUACAAUGCUCCUUCUAAUAGGAACCCUUCAAAUACAGAUUUAAUCUCCAGAUAAAACCUUCUGAUAUUGGGCGUGAAGAUAAUGUUUUAAGUGAUUACCUUUUUCAGCUGAAUCGUGGUGUACUUUGGCGGUGCUACCUGAAUGUAGAGGUAAUGAUAAGACUUAAACGGGUUGCGGAUUCUGUCAGGCUUUAAUGCAGGUGAACAACACUACAGAUGAAAAAAUGUAAAACAUGUUUUAAAUCCCAAGUAUAUCUACUUUAUUAACAGGUACUGAUUCAAAGAUGAUCAAAUGUUUGCUUGUCCAAAUAUGUCAAAAAAGCCAACAAUUUCCAUGGGGUGUACUUAUUUUUUCACAUGACUGUAUUAGAGCGAACACAUUAAUAUAAACCUGUGAGUUGCAGCUGCACUACUGUCAGAGCUGAAAAUUGCACAAGCACUAACGUAAAAUAAACAGUGAGCAUGAGUAUGUCUAACAAAACAAAUAAUCCACGAGAUAAGAACAGGCCAAGCAGGUUAGCGGGUUAGCAUUCUAGCUCAGUACUGAAGCUUGCUAAAAGAUAAACAACUAUUUGAAAAACAAAAUAAAAUUCAAUACAUUCAUUCAGUGGUGCUUGAAAGUUUUGAGAUUAGAGUCAGGUGUUUUCAGUCAGUGGGAUGAUGAUCAGGUGUGAGUGAGUGAGUGAGCGUCUUGUUUUAUUUAAAGAACAGGGAUCUAUCAGAGUCUGAUCUUCACAACACAUGUUUGUGAAAGUGUAUCAUGUCAUGAACAAAGGAGAUUUCUGAGGACCUCAGAAAAAGAGUUGUUGAAGCUCAUCAGG